rnacentral:rRNA from 1 species
UGGGGAAUUUUGGACAAUGGGCGCAAGCCUGAUCCAGCCAUGCCGCGUGUCUGAAGAAGGCCUUCGGGUUGUAAAGGACUUUUGUCAGGGAGGAAAUCCCUAGCGCUAAUAUCGCUGGGGGAUGACAGUACCUGAAGAAUAAGCACCGGCUAACUACGUGCCAGCAGCCGCGGUAAUACGUAGGGUGCAAGCGUUAAUCGGAAUUACUGGGCGUAAAGCGUGCGCAGGCGGUUGUGUAAGUCUGAUGUGAAAGCCCCGGGCUUAACCUGGGAACUGCAUUGGAGACUGCACAGCUAGAGUGCGUCAGAGGGGGGUAGAAUUCCGCGUGUAGCAGUGAAAUGCGUAGAGAUGCGGAGGAAUACCGAUGGCGAAGGCAGCCCCCUGGGAUGACACUGACGCUCAUGCACGAAAGCGUGGGGAGCAAACA